AGUGCAGGGAUUCUGAAGCUGUCUGCUUGAGUUACUGUGCUCUCUUCCAAGGCUGUAGGAGUUCUGGAGCUGCUGGCUGGAGAGGAGGGUGGACGAAGCUCUCUCCAGAAAGACAUCCUGAGAGGACUUGGCAGGAAGUCAGGGACCCUGAAUGGAGGGAUCGGCCAGAGCUGAGGCAGAAGAACAUAAAUUGUGAAGAUUUCAUGGAUAUUUAUCACUUCCCAAAAUUAAUACUUUUAUAAUUUCUUAUGCCUGUCUUUACUGCAAUCUCUGAACAUAAAUUGUGAAGAUUUCAUGGACAUUUAUCACGUUCCCAAUUAACACUCUUAUAGUUUCUUAUGCCUAUCUUUACUUUAAUCUCUUAAUCCUGUUAUCUUCAUAAGCUCAGAAUGUAAUUCACCUCAGGACUACUAUUGCACAAAUGGAUUGUAAAACAUGUGUGUUUGAACAAUAUGAAAUCAGUAUACCCGG
rnacentral:lncRNA from 1 species